AACGUAGGAGGCGAGCGUUAUCCGGAGUUACUGGGCGUAAAGAGCGUGUAGGCGGGUGGGCAAGUCUGGCGUGAAAGCUCCCGGCUAAACUGGGAGAGUGCGUUGGAGACUGCUUAUCUAGAGGCGAGUAGAGGGACGUGGAAUUCCGGGUGUAGUGGUGAAAUGCGUAGAGAUCCGGAGGAACACCAGUGGCGAAGGCGACGUCCUGGGCUUGACCUGACGCUGAGACGCGACAGCAUGGGGAGCAAACGGG
rnacentral:rRNA from 1 species